rnacentral:tRNA from 1 species
GGGCCGUUAGCUCAGUUGGUAGAGCAGCAGACUCUUAAUCUGCGGGUCGGUGGUUCGAGCCCACCACGGCUCA